rnacentral:pre_miRNA from 1 species
AAGCCUCAACACUGACCUGCUACGUCGAAACCCUUGGGCAGUGGAGACCAAUAGCUAAUUGCCAAGUCGUGUAGACUUGUGAGGUGGCAACGAGCUAUUGGUCUUCACUGACAUAGGUUGUGACGUUGCAGGUCAGUGUUGAUGCCUU